UACGGAGGGUGCGAGCGUUGUCCGGAAUCACUGGGCGUAAAGGGCGCGUAGGCGGCGCGAGCAGUCGAUCGUGAAAGUCCGGAGCUCAACUCCGGAUCGGCGGUCGAUACUCUCGUGCUUGAGCACUGUAGAGGCAGGUGGAAUUCCGGGUGUAGCGGUGGAAUGCGUAGAGAUCCGGAAGAACACCGGUGGCGAAGGCGGCCUGCUGGGCAGUAGCUGACGCUGAGGCGCGACAGCGUGGGGAGCAAACAGG
rnacentral:rRNA from 1 species